rnacentral:rRNA from 1 species
UGAGGAACAUGACCUUCGGCGGGGGAUAGCCGGCCCAACGGCCGGGUAAUACCGCGUACGACCUUUUGGGGACAUCCCUGAGUGGUGAAAGCAGCAAUGCGCCGAUGGAGUGCCUCGCGGCCUAUCAGCUAGUUGGUGAGGUAACGGCUCACCAAGGCGACGACGGGUAGCUGGUCUGAGAGGACGAUCAGCCACACUGGGACUGAGACACGGCCCAGACUCCUACGGGAGCAG